UGGGGAAUUUUGGACAAUGGGCGCAAGCCUGAUCCAGCCAUGCCGCGUGCGGGAAGAAGGCCUUCGGGUUGUAAACCGCUUUUGUCAGGGAAGAAAUCUUCUGAGUUAAUACCUCGGGAGGAUGACGGUACCUGAAGAAUAAGCACCGGCUAACUACGUGCCAGCAGCCGCGGUAAUACGUAGGGUGCAAGCGUUAAUCGGAAUUACUGGGCGUAAAGCGUGCGCAGGCGGUUUUGUAAGACAGAGGUGAAAUCCCCGGGCUCAACCUGGGAACUGCCUUUGUGACUGCAAGGCUUGAGUGCGGCAGAGGGGGAUGGAAUUCCGCGUGUAGCAGUGAAAUGCGUAGAUAUGCGGAGGAACACCGAUGGCGAAGGCAAUCCCCUGGGCCUGCACUGACGCUCAUGCACGAAAGCGUGGGGAGCAAACAGGAUUAGAUAGCCCUGGUAGUCCACGCCCUAAACGAUGUUAACUGGUUGUUGGGAAGGUUCCUUCUCAGUAACGUAGCUAACGCGUGAAGUUGACCGCCUGGGGAGUACGGCCGCAAGGUUGAAACUUAAAUGAAUUGACGGGGUCAUAGCUGUUUCC
rnacentral:rRNA from 1 species